UCGAUCAUCAUAGGGCUACUCCUCUCAUCUACCGAGGUUGAUAGAUCCCAUCUUGGUGCGACCUAGUUCCUACAAUGAAUAUGCUACAGCCAACAUACACCUCAGGAUUCUGAAUGGCUAGGAGACCGAGUUAUGGUGUAGUCAAACUAUAACACACUCAAGAUGAACUAUCGAUGCACCUCAGGUCAAAGAACUAGACACACAACUGCAGCAU
rnacentral:lncRNA from 1 species